rnacentral:rRNA from 1 species
AUUGAACGCUGGCGGAAUGCGUUACACAUGCAAGUCGAACGGCAGCACGGACUUCGGUCUGGUGGCGAGUGGCGAACGGGUGAGUAACAUAUCGGAACGUAUCCAAUAAUGGGGGAUAACUAAUCGAAAGGUUGGCUAAUACCGCAUACGCCCUACGGGGGAAAGCUAGGGACCUUCGGGCCUGGCGUUAAUGGAGCGGCCGAUAUCUGAUUAGCUAGUUGGUGGGGUAAAGGCCCACCAAGGCGACGAUCAGUAGCUGGUCUGAGAGGACGACCAGCCACACUGGAACUGAGACACGGUCCAGACUCCUACGGGAGGCAGCAGUGGGGAAUUUUGGACAAUGGGCGCAAGCCUGAUCCAGCCAUUCCGCGUGAGUGAAGAAGGCCUUCGGGUUGUAAAGCUCUUUCGCAAGGGAAGAAAACUUAUCCUCUAACAUAGGAUGAGGUUGACGGUACCUUGAUAAGAAGCACCGGCUAACUACGUGCCAGCCGCCGCAGUAAAAC